rnacentral:lncRNA from 1 species
CUUUCUGUGGAGAACUCCAGAGAGCUGCCUUUCUGCGCGGCCCCCAGCGUGCAGUAAGCCUCAGCUGUGGCAUUUAGAAGGGCUACCUCCAGAGACCGGAUGUGUGCACACUCAGAGAGAGCAGCGAGGACCUCGCCACAUGAACCAGGAGGAUGGAUGGCGGUGGUUAGAGGAAUAUGCAAUUAUUUAACAGAGACCUGGUAAGCACACAUUGAGUGUUACUGAGGCUGGAGAGAGGGAACAUCAAGGGGACAACGGCAGGGGAAGAGACCCUUUCCUGUGAGGUCCAGAUUGUCUUUCCUGAUGGCAGAGCGAAGAAACUUCAACACCAAAAUCGCCUGUAGAGAUAGCAUGUGCUUUCCAGACCAUCUUAAACAAGAAGGUUAAGAACAAUAAACUUUAAUCCCAGCACUCAGGAGGCAGAGGCAGGCGGAUUUCUGAGUUUGAGGCCAGCCUGGUCUACAGAGUGAGUUCCAGGAC